GACGUAGGGGGCAAGCGUUGUCCGGAAUUACUGGGCGUAAAGGGCGCGUAGGCGGAUAGUUUAGUCAGAGGUGAAAGCCCAGGGCUCAACCUUGGAAUUGCCUUUGAUACUGGCUAUCUUGAGUUCGGGAGAGGUGAGUGGAAUGCCGAGUGUAGAGGUGAAAUUCGUAGAUAUUCGGCGGAACACCAGUGGCGAAGGCGACUCACUGGCCCGAUACUGACGCUGAGGCGCGAAAGCGUGGGGAGCAAACAGG
rnacentral:rRNA from 1 species